rnacentral:rRNA from 1 species
GACGAACGCUGGCGGCGUGCCUAAUACAUGCAAGUAGAACGCUGAAGAGAGGAGCUUGCUCUUCUUGGAUGAGUUGCGAACGGGUGAGUAACGCGUAGGUAACCUGCCUUGUAGCGGGGGAUAACUAUUGGAAACGAUAGCUAAUACCGCAUAACAAUGGAUGACACAUGUCAUUUAUUUGAAAGGGGCAAUUGCUCCACUACAAGAUGGACCUGCGUUGUAUUAGCUAGUAGGUGAGGUAAUGGAUCACCUAGGCGACGAUACAUAGCCGACCUGAGAGGGUGAUCGGCCACACUGGGACUGAGACACGGCCCAGACUCCUACGGGAGGCAGCAGUAGGGAAUCUUCGGCAAUGGGGGCAACCCUGACCGAGCAACGCCGCGUGAGUGAAGAAGGUUUUCGGAUCGUAAAGCUCUGUUGUAAGUCAAGAACGGGUGUGAGAGUGGAAAGUUCACACUGUGACGGUAGCUUACCAGAAAGGGACGGCUAACUACGUG